GUUGUAUCUCAGAGGAUAUAACUUGGCUCAUGGAGUAUUCUAUUCCACAGAGGAAAUCUUUACUAUGUUGGAGUAAAGGUAGAAAAUGAGAAUCCACAGAACCUUGGCAGGAACAAUGUCUCGCUUUGACAGAACUAACGAUCAAUAAUCAUUGGUUAGUGAACUGUCAGACCCCUUGAAGAGAUUAAACUAUUAAUUAACACUUCAUCUGUUUUUAGCUGUCUUAGACUAGAGGCUUGCAAUUUCUAGCACCAUCAGCUUUAAUUAAACUAUGAAAUGAAUGCAGAAUGUAACUUCUAUCACCAGUUGUAGUAAUUAGUCUAUUAAAAUAUGCUUUGGUGUACUGAGAACAUAAUAGUUGCAGUUCAACUGUAAUUCUGGGAAAUGAGUUUCUAAGCAAAGGAAAUUCCAUAGGGAUAGGGUUUGAUGGCCACUCCUUCCUCCUAUGUAGAUGGGUUGGUGGUUCAAGCACUGUCUUGUGACAGUUUCUGUCGGGAAAAUGUGUAAUGCAUAUUGCAAAGAUUUGUUUGGAAGAGAUUCUUGUGAUGACCCUGAAAUGGGGGACACUCCUACUCUUCCUGGGUAAAAUUACAGCCUUGGAUACCCUCAUGCUCAACUAAACUGUGGAUUUCAUCUGCCCUCCUCCCCAGCUGUCAGCCCAACUUCUUCUACCAUCUGGAUCUCCUGUACUUCUACCCUGUUCCUGGGGUGUCCCUCGAUGUUCCACACAUGGUCCUGGCAUGGAUCUGUUCCUCCAGCCGUCACUUGUGUUCUGCUCUUGUAUUGUUAGUGUUACCAGCGGGGGAGCUUGACCCUCAGCCUCUCACAUUCUGGGGUGGAUUUUCUGGAUCUUCUUGUAACAACAUAAUUAUUAUAACCAGGAGAAAGGACUGUAAGGUGGAGAUAUGAGGAACCCUGAAGUCAAUGCAUUCUUUGGGUCACUGUGGAAAUGUGGAUGCAGCUCUAACAGGUGCUGGAGUCUUGCUCUGCUAUGUGUCAGAAGUUGGAGGAGAGGUUGGGGCAGUCCCUUAGCUGCCUGGGCCUGGGAUCUGGACCAGAGAGAACACUGUGGAUUGGGAUUGUGGAGGAGGCAGAUUCUUGGAGGAGACACCAUGAAAGCAGAGUCUAGGAGAGGGGUAAGAAAUGAAAGUGUGAAGAAGAGCAUGAAGAACAUUUUCAGUCUGCAUGUGGGGAAAGGUAGGGAAGGACUUGCUUCGUAUUCAUCCCUAUAUCCAGUAGAUUAGCUCAUUCCAUAAGUCUGACCUAUAAGAUGUAUUUCUGAUUUUUCUUUUCAUUUUGUAUAAUGGUAAUUGCCUUCAACUCUGAACAUUUUAUUUUUUGGAAUUUAAGGAGUGAAAUUUUGUAGUCGUUAUAGGUUCACAGCAAAAUUGAGAAGGUACAGAGAUUUCCUGUAUACCACCUGCCCGACUCAUGCACAGCCUCUCCCAUUAUCAAGAUCUCCCAUGAGAUUGAUGUAUUUGUUGGAAUUGAUGAAAAUUCAUUGACAUGUCAUAAUCAGAGUACAUUUUGUAAAAAUAUUUAUUUAUUUAUUUGAAAGUGAGAGUUAGAGAGAGAGAGAGAGAGAUGGAAUCUUCCAUCCACUAGUUCACUCCCCAAAUGGCCACAAUGGUCGUGACUGGGCCAGGCUGAAGCCAAGAGCCAAGAACUCCAUUUGGGUCUCCCAUGUGGGUGGUAGGGGUACAAUUGCUUGGGCCAUAUUCUGCUGCUACCCAAAGGAAUUGAAAACUUAUGUCCACAUAGCACAUUAGCAGGGAGCUAGAUUAGAAGCAGAGCAGCUGGGACUGGAACUAGUGUUCCAAUAAGGGAUCCGGUGUUGAAGGCUAAACCUGCUGUGUCACAACACUGGCCCAAAAUUCCUUGUUUACAUUAGGGAUUAGCUCUUGAUAUUGAACAAAAAUAUAAUGUUGGGUUUGAACAAAUGUGUGAUGACACAUAUGCACCAUUGUAGUAUCAUACAGAGUGGUUUCACUGCCCUGAAAAUCUUCUGCGCUUCAUCCGUCCUCCUGCCCAAUCCACGGCAAUCAAUAACCUUUUUAUUAUCUCCAAAGUUUUCUUUCCUGAAUGUCAUAUAAUUGGAAUCAGAGAGCAUGUAGCCUUUUACGUUUACUUCAUAUUUACUUCAUAUCUUUUCAUGGCUUGAUAGAUAAUUUCCUCUUAGCACUGAAAAAUAUUCUGUUGUCUGUAUGUACCACAGUAUAUUUCCACUACCCAACGAAGAGUUUUGCAAUUAUAAAUAAGACUACUACAAAAUAUCUACUUGUAGGUUUCUAUGUGGACAUAAGUUUUUAAUUCCUUUGGGUAGCAUGGUUACUGGAUCAUUGGCAGGAGUGUGCUUAUUUUUGUAAGAAACUACCAAACUGUCUUCCAAAGUGGCUGUACCAUUUGCAUUUCCAUGAAUGAGAGUUCUUGUUGCUUUACAUCCUGGUUAGAAUUUUGUGUCGUCAUUGUUCUGGAUUUUGGCCAUUCUAAUAUAUUUAUAGUAGUGUUUCAUUGUUGUUUUAAUAUUAAUUUCCCUGAUGACAUAUGAUGUAGAACAUCUUCUGACAUCUGUAUAGUGUUUUAAUGUUUUAUUUCAAAAUAGUUUUAAAUUUAGAAAACAAAAAUUGUGAGGUAGUAAUACAAAGAGUUCCCAUAUACUCCUCACCCAAUUCCCCUGGUUAAUGUCUAAGUAUCUUUGUCACAUUGAUGGACCACACCCAAAUUCCCCUAUGUUUAAAAAUCUCCAAAUCUUUUAUCCCCCCUAUAUUUCUUUGCCUCUAGUAAUCAAUAUUCUGUAUUCAAAUUGAAUUGUGAUUUUUAUUCUUUAAUUUUAGCUCCCACCUAUAAGGGACAGCAUGUGAUAUUUGUCUUUCUGUGUCUAGCUUAUUUCACUGUACAUAAUAGCCUCUGGUUCCUUUCAUUUUGCUACAAAUGACAAGAUUCCUUUUUAGCUGAAUAAUAUUCCAUUGUGUGUAUAUACCAUAUUUUCUUUAUCCAUUACUGAUGAUGGACUUUUUGGUUGAUUCCUCGUUUUGGCUAUAAUGAACAGAGCUUCUAUACACAUGGUGGUGCAUGUAUCUCUUGGUAUGAUGGGUUCAUUUCUUUUGGGUAUAUAUCUGGUAGUGGGAUUGCUGGAUCAUAUGGUAUUUCCAUGUCCUCUGUUUUUUAAUGGCACUAACCUUGCCUGAUGUUACAUUGUAUGCCCCCCACUGCUUUAUUUAUUGUCCACUUCUGCUUUUAGAAUGCAAACUAACUUUCUUUCUUUCUUUCUUUCUUUCUUUCUUUCUUUCUUUCUCUCUUUCUUUUUCUUUCUUUCUUUCUCUCUUUCUUUCUUUCUUUCUUUCUUUCUUUCUUUCUUUCUUUCUCUCUUUCUUUCUUUCUUUCUUUCUUUCUCUCUUUGACAGGCAGAGUGGACAGUGAGAGAGAGAGAGAGAGAGAAAGGUCUUCCUUUUUUGCCAUUGGUUCACCCUCCAAUGGCCGCUGCUUCUCCUGGUCUCCCAUGCAAGUGCAGGGACCAAGGACUUGGGCCAUCUUCCACUGCACUCCCAGGCCACAGCAGAGAGCUGGACUGGAAGAGGGGCAACUGGGACAGAAUCCGGCGCCCCGACCGGGACUAGAACCCCAGAGGUGCCAGCGCCGCAGGCGGAGGAUUAGCCUAGUGAGCCGUGGCGCCAGCCAAGAAUGCAAACUUCCAACAUAGUCCUCUAGUCUGUCUUGUUCACCUCCAUGUUCCUACCUCCAGGGGGUUUUUCUAUACCUUUGAUUGGUACUGCAGGAAGAGGAUUAAAUAUCAACAGUGGACUACAUUAGAUAUAAACAUCUCUGCUAUCUUAAGCCUUGGUUCCUAUCAUACUCGCAUCAUUAUCAAAUUAUAAUGAGGGGGCGCUGGCGCUGAGGCUCAGCGGCUUAAAGCCCUGGCCUGAAGUACCGGCAUCCCAUAUGGGCACCGGUUCUAGUCCCCGCUGCUCCUCUUCUGAUCCAGCUCUCUGCUAUGGCCGAGGAAAGCAGUAGAAGAUGGCCCAAGUCCUUGGGCCCCUGCACCCGCAUUGGAGACCUGGAAGAAGCUCCUGGCUCCUGCUUCGGAUUGGCACAGCUCCGACUGUUGCAGCCAUCUGGGGAGUGAACCAGCGGAUGGAAGACCUCUUUCUCUCUCUCUCUCUCUGCCUCUCCUCUCUCUGUGUAACUCUGACUUUCAAAUAAAUAAAUAAAUCUUUAAAAAAAUUAUAAUGAA
ensembl:lncRNA